AACGGAGUUCAUUAGAAAUAGUAUUUUACAGUGUGUAAGAAGAAAGCAUAAAUUCGGCACACCUUAGCUUCUGGCCGGAGAGAUCAUAAUAUUGUUAUCAAGUCAUUGUUAUCCGCUGUUGAUUGACCUGUUUUAGAUGCAAGUAUCCAGUACACAUUCCCUCGCUUACCACGCUGGCCCAUUUACAAGUUGAUCAGACUAUGGAAAUAGACGUAAAGAAAACUUUCGUGGUAUAUGAAUGGCAAAUAGCACUGUAACAGCGCGUGUGACUGAAAUAAAUAAAACCACAGUAGCGCGGACAGCAAUACAGGAGCAAAUGAUAUAUAUGAGUCAAAGGCUGAGGAAAUAGGGGGAAACAUUUAGGUAAAGUCGAAUAUUUCAGUUCGGAAGAUUAAAGAAGCCUUAGAAAAAUCGUCUUACUUUUCUGUUUGU